rnacentral:rRNA from 1 species
UACGGGAGGCAGCAGUGGGGAAUAUUGCMCAAUGGGCGCAAGCCUGAUGCAGCGACGCCGCGUGAGGGAUGACGGCCUUCGGGUUGUAAACCUCUUUCAGCAGGGAAGAAGCCACAAGUGACGGUACCUGCAGAAGAAGCGCCGGCUAACUACGUGCCAGCAGCCGCGGUAAUACGUAGGGCGCAAGCGUUGUCCGGAAUUAUUGGGCGUAAAGAGCUCGUAGGCGGUUUGUCGCGUCUGCUGUGAAAGCCCGGGGCUCAACCCCGGGUCUGCAGUGGGUACGGGCAGACUAGAGUGCAGUAGGGGAGACUGGAAUUCCUGGUGUAGCGGUGAAAUGCGCAGAUAUCAGGAGGAACACCGAUGGCGAAGGCAGGUCUCUGGGCUGUUACUGACGCUGAGGAGCGAAAGCAUGGGGAGCGAACAGGAUUAGAUACCCUGGUAGUCCAUGCCGUAAACGUUGGGCACUAGGUGUGGGGGACAUUCCACGUUCUCCGCGCCGUAGCUAACGCAUUAAGUGCCCCGCUGGG